rnacentral:miRNA from 1 species
GGAAGGUGGCCUGCCUCCAGC